GACGAACGCUGGCGGCGUGCUUAACACAUGCAAGUCGAACGGACAGGCCCUGCUUUUGUGGGGUGCUCGAGUGGCGAACGGGUGAGUAACACGUGAGUAACCUGCCCUUGACUUUGGGAUAACUUCAGGAAACUGGGGCUCAUACCGGAUAGGAGCUCCUGCUGCAUGGUGGGGGUUGGAAAGUUUCGGCGGUUGGGGAUGGACUCGCGGCUUAUCAGCUUGUUGGUGGGGUAGUGGCUUACCAAGGCUUUGACGGGUAGCCGGCCUGAGAGGGUGACCGGCCACAUUGGGACUGAGAGAGGGACCAGACGCCGACGGGACGCAGUAGUGGGGAAUAUUGCACAACGGGCGGAAGCCGGAUGCAGCAACGCCGCGUGCGGGAUGACGGCCUUCGGGUGGUAAACCGCUGUGGCCGGUGACGAAGAGUGAGUGACGGUAAUGGGUAAAGAAGCACCGGCUAACUACGUG
rnacentral:rRNA from 1 species